rnacentral:rRNA from 1 species
UCUAGUUAAUUCUACUAGUAGUUAUAUGCUUAUCUUAAAGAUUAAGCUAUGUAAGUCUAAGUAUAAGUAACUAUACGGCGAAACUACGAACGGCUUAUUAUAUAAGUUAUCGUUUAUUUAAUAGUACCUUUUUACUUAGGUAACCGUAGUAAUUCUAGAGCUAAUACAUACUAAAAAUCCCGACUCUAGAAGGGAUAUAUUUAUUAGAUUUAAAACUAAUGCCCCCUAGGCUCCCUAGUAAAUUAUAAUAACCGCUCGAAUCGUACGGCCUUACGCUAGCGAUAGUUUAUUUAAAUUUCUUCCCUAUUAACUUUCGAUAUUUAGGUAGUAGCUAAACAUAGUUAUAAUAGGUAACGGAAGGUUAGGGCUCGACCCCGGAGAAGGAGCCUAAGAAACGGCUACUAUAUCUAAGGAAGGUAGUAGGCGCGUAAAUUACCUAAUCCUAACACGGGGAGGUAGUAAUAAUAAAUACUAAUAUAGGGCUCUUUUAGGUCUUAUAAUUAGAAUAAGUAUAAUUUAAAUCCCUUAACGAGGAAUAAUUAGAGGGUAAGUCUAGUACUAGUAGCCGCGGUAAUUCUAGCUCUAAUAGCGUAUAUUAAAGUUAUUAUAGUUAAAAAGCUCGUAGUUAAACCUUAGGCCUAGCUAGCUAGUCCGCCUUACCGCGUACACUAGUCUAGCCGGGCCUUUCCUUCCGCGGAACCCUAUGCCCUUUACUAAGCGUAGCGGGGAAACGGGACUUUUACUUUAAAAAAAUUAGAGUACUCUAGGUAGGCCUAUGCUCGAAUACAUUAGCAUAGAAUAAUAGAAUAGGACGCGCGGUUCUAUUUUGUUAGUUUCUAGGACUACCGUAAUGAUUAAUAGGGAUAGUUAGGGGCGUUAGUAUUUAACCGUUAGAGGUAAAAUUCUUAGACUAGUUAAAGACUAACUACUACGAAAGCAUUCGCUAAGGAUGUUUUUAUUAAUUAGGAACGAAAGCUAGGGGAUCGAAGACGAUUAGAUACCGUCGUAGUCUUAGCUAUAAACUAUGCCGACUAGGGAUCGGGCGAUAUUAUUCUUUAACUCGCUUGGUACCUUCCGAGAAAUUAAAGUGCUUAGGCUCUAGGGGGAGUAUAGUCGUAAGGCUAAAACUUAAAGAAAUUAACGGAAGGGUACUACUAGGGGUAAACGAACUCGUCGUAGUUACUCUACCCCCUAUAGUAGCUAGGAAACCGGUCCGGCUAGGUCCUCA